CCGGCGGGGGAUGGGCAUGCGGCGCAUUAGCUAGUCGGCGGGGUAACGGCCCACCGAGGCGACGAUGCGUAGGGGUUCUGAGAGGAAGGUCCCCCACACUGGUACUGAGACACGGACCAGACUCCUACGGGAGGCAGCAGUGAGGAAUAUUGGUCAAUGGGCGGGAGCCUGAACCAGCCAAGUCGCGUGAGGGAAGACGGUCCUAUGGAUUGUAAACCUCUUUUGCCGGGGAGCAACGGGGUCCUUGCGAGGGCCUAAUGAGAGUACCCGGAGAAAAAGCAUCGGCUAACUCCGUGCCAGCAGCCGCGGUAAUACGGAGGAUGCGAGCGUUAUCCGGAUUUAUUGGGUUUAAAGGGUGCGUAGGCGGGCUGUUAAGUCAGCGGUCAAAUGUCGGGGCUCAACCCCGGCCUGCCGUUGAAACUGGCGGCCUCGAGUGGGCGAGAAGUAUGCGGAAUGCGUGGUGUAGCGGUGAAAUGCAUAGAUAUCACGCAGAACUCCGAUUGCGAAGGCAGCAUACCGGCGCCCUACUGACGCUGAGGCACGAAAGCGUGGGUAUCGAACAGGAUUAGAUACCCUGGUAGUCCACGC
rnacentral:rRNA from 1 species